CAGACCCUCCCUCCCAGAUCCUCCUACUUCCUGGACAGCAUCCAUGUUGGAUGCUGUCCAGGAAGUAGGAGAGUCUGGGAGGGAGGGUCUG